rnacentral:rRNA from 1 species
UACGUAGGUGGCAAGCGUUAUCCGGAUUUAUUGGGCGUAAAGAGAAUGCAGGCGGUCUUUUAAGUCUGAUGUGAAAGCCUUCGGCUUAACCGGAGUAGUGCAUUGGAAACUGGGAGACUUGAGUGCAGAAGAGGAGAGUGGAACUCCAUGUGUAGCGGUGAAAUGCGUAGAUAUAUGGAAGAACACCAGUGGCGAAAGCGGCUCUCUGGUCUGUAACUGACGCUGAGGUUCGAAAGCGUGGGUAGCAAACAGG